rnacentral:sRNA from 1 species
GGAAGUCCGGUGCAAUCCCGGCACGGUCGCGCCACUGUG